AUCAAACCAAGACCCGGAUGCCAAGUAAACCCCAAGGCUUUCUACAUUCUAAAUUUCCCUAUUCCGUUUCGAUUCCGCUGUUGUUCGAACCCAAGGCUCCUUUAGCUGCCGUCUAUUCCCCUCCCUCCUCAUACAUAUUCUCUCUUUAAUAUACUCAGCAAUCGAAUUAUGUUCUCUUCCCAAAAGCCAAAGCCAAAGAGCUAGCUCUCAAGGAACUUGGAGGAACAGCUUCAUCAAAACUCAAGUUUAAAGAUCAACAGGUUCUUAUGCUUAUCAUAUAUGUUUUUAGUUUCCAAAUCCGUUGGGAAUUAGGGAAAACUAUCGUGCUUCACCAUUAAUUCAUCCCUGAGGAAUGUGAAAUUAGCUUUCGCUUUGAUUAGGUCAAGAUCAAUUAGAUUUAGGUAUUUACUUUCAUGCUGAAUCGUAGCUGAAUUUAAAGACAUGAAGGGUAGGACACACCGUCUCCAGGGUCAUGAUCUGCAUGAGGAUUGGGUGGAUGGCUCCUGGACGGUGGAUUGCGUUUGCGGUGUGAAUUUCGACGAUGGGGAAGAGAUGGUCAACUGUGAUGAGUGCGGUGUAUGGGUACAUACUCGCUGCUCCGGGUACAUGAAGGGAGACGAUUUAUUUACUUGUGAUAAGUGCAAGAGCAAGAACAAUAAGGAUGACAGUGAGGAGACGGAGGUUGCUCAAUUGCUGGUUGAAUUGCCGACUAAAACUAUCCGGCUAGAGAGUAGUUAUGCAGCAAAUGUUCCCUCACACCCGCCCUUGAGGCUUUGGACUGAUAUACCUAUGGAGGAGAGAGUGCAUGUGCAGGGUAUUCCAGGUGGUGAUCCUGCAUUGUUUUCUGGGUUUUCCUCUGUUUUUACGCCAGAGUUGUGGAAGUGCACCGGAUAUGUGCCUAAAAAGUUUAGUUUUCAGUACAGGGAGUUCCCUUGCUGGGAUGUGAAGGAGUGUGGUGAUAGCGGAAAUGAGAAUGAAAGUACUAUUGAUAAAGGUGCAGGUGUCUUGUUUUCGUUGGCUAAGGAGAGCGUGUUUCCAACCCCUGCAACAGCUUUGGUUGGCAUGAAAGGGAGAGGUGGGGAUGGCAGUUUUGAUAGGAAACAUUACUCAGAGGGAAGGAAAAAUUUGGUGGAUGAGGACAGUGAGGUUAGGCAUUUGCAGGUUGGGGUUAAAAAGGAGAGAAGCUUCCUUCGGCCAGUUGUAAUACAUUCAAGUAAAAGAAAGAAAGAAGAUCUAGGAACAUCCAAAGAACGAAGUGGAAAGAAGAAGGAUAGAGCUGCAUACAAGGAGGUGGAUGCAAAGAAGAGAGGUUCACAUGUUUCUAGAACAGCAUUUACAUCCACCAGUGAUGCAAAACCUUUGGAAUUUUAUGAAGACAGAGGUCCAAAGUCUAUCAAGAGUGAUAGCCAGAGUAUUGACAACAAGAAUCUGAGGGACUCUAUGAUCCAGGAAAAUGAAUCAGAUUGUUAUAUUUCUGUGGGAAAUGGUGUACAAAAGUCCAAGAACAGUGUGGCAGUGAUUGAGUGCUCCUCAGAAGUUUUAUCUGCUGCCAUUUCUAGACAUAAUUUUCCAAGUGGAACUGGACUGGAUGAAGGGAAAGUUAGCCAUGAAGGUCUAGAAGCAUUUGAGUGUUCUCCCAAAGUUGAUAAUGCAGCUACAUCAGUGCCUGAACAAAGUGAUGAUGGGAGAAUCCCUGCAGAACAAGAGGGAGAUAACAUGCCAAAUGGUAAUCUGGAUGAUUCUACGGAAGGUUCUGCUGGAAGUGACGUUAAGCCCCCAAAUGACGAUCUGGUUGCCACUGUUCCAGAAAUCAAGGACAAUCAGAUUAAUGGUGAUCAUGACAUGUUUCUGAGUUCUUUGCAGCCUAAUGUUAAAGUAGAUGCAGUUUAUGAUGAUUCUAUGGGGAUCCUGAAUGAUAAAUCUUCGGUUGGUGAUGCGAAAGAUAUAGGGGUUUCUCAUGAUAACAUUGCUGAAAAUUCUAAAAUGAAUAAUGCAGCAUUAAGUGUUUCACCAUCUGGUGACAAAAAGGCUCAAGAGGUUGACAGAACUCCAGAAGCAAUCAGUGAUUGCCAUGCAGGAAAACACAAUGAUUUAACUAGUGAACCCUUUCAGAUUAAACAGGAAUUGGAGGGGCCUGAGGGUUUAUUGUCGUUGCAAAAAUGCCCUUCAGAACCUAAAGCUUUUGGUGAAGAACUCUCAAAAUCUGGUGGAACUAUCUCCAAUUCUUCGGCGUUACCCAGUCAGAAUAAAAUUGUUUUGUGUGUUGGAAAAUCAUCUUCCACUUCAGCCACUGUCAUGGUCUCCAAAUCUUCUGGCUGUGACAACUUUAGAUCUGCUGCUCCUCUGGAUUCUAAUCCUAAUACUAAGCAGCAAGUAAAGUCUGAGUGCGAUUCUAAUAUUAAGAAAGAUCGAGCUACAAGUGAUAUAGUCAAGGUCAACAAUGAAGACAGUCAGGACGUGUCAAGAAGAACAGUAAAUGAGCGUCCAAAAUCCUCUGUAAAUGCUGCUCCAAAACCGUCAAACUCGAGCAAAAUUUCGCAUACAUCUGUUAUUAAGAGAACUAUCUCGGAUUCAAAAGAUUCUGCAAAUUACUCAUCUUCUAAAACAUCUUCAGCUCAGAAUUCCUGUGAGACUACAGGAUCUCCACAAAAUGAAUGUGCUUUACAGGUUCAAAAUAAGGCAUUGGCUUCAGGUUUACCUCUAAGAGGUGAAAAGUUUAAUCAGUCUUGUAGCCAGUCAUCAUCUAAGACAAAUCAUGCAUCAUCUAUGAAUCUGCCCACAUCUACUAAUUCUUCUGCAACUUUAAGCGAUGAAGAGCUUGCAUUGCUUUUGCAUCAAGAACUCAAUAGUUCGCCUAGAGUUCCUCGUGUUCCACGUGUUCGUCAUGCAGGUAGCUUACCCCAGCUGGCUUCUGCCGCAGCAACAAGCAUGCUAAUAAAACGUACAUCUAGUUCUGGAGGAAGAGAUCAUAGUUUGGCUUCUAGAAGAAAAAAUAAGGAUGCAUCUAAAGAUGGUUUUCCCCGUUCUCAUGAGCCUGAUGAUGAGGCUAAAAAAACUGACAAGGUUCCAUGUUCACCUGAUCAGAAGAGGCAGGAUACAGGAUGUACUGCUGACGAUUUGUCUAAGAGAGAGGAUAAUAGAUCUCCGACGGCAGUACAUUCUGUAAAGAGAAGCAUCCCUCCUGCUUCCACCUCAACUGCAAACAGUGGCCCAUCUUCCCCUACUAAUGUUAAUGAACAUCAUUUUUCUUCUACACGUAAUUCACCAAGAAAUAUGUCCGAUGAGGAGACGAGCACUGUCCAGGGUACUGUUCAUCGCACUUUACCAGGCUUAAUCAAUGAGAUUAUGAGCAAAGGCAGGCGCAUGACAUACGAGGAACUCUGUAAUGCUGUCUUGCCGCACUGGCAUAACUUGAGGAAACAUAAUGGAGAACGUUAUGCAUAUUCAAGUCAUUCUCAGGCUGUUCUUGACUGCCUUAGGAACCGACAUGAGUGGGCUCAGUUGGUGGAUCGUGGUCCCAAGACAAACUCAAGUAGGAAGAGGCGCAAACUUGAUGCUGAGGAAUCAGAAGAUAAUGACUGUGGCAAGGGAAGAAAUGCAAAGGAGGGUGAAAGUAAAAGCCUUGAAUCACAAAGAGAAGAGUUUCCCAAGGGCAAGCGGAAAGCAAGGAAACGAAGGCGUCUGGCACUGCAAGGAAGAGGAAUAAAGGAAAUUAGGAAGAGUCGGAAGGCAGAUUUGCUUACUGAUGAAGAUAGUGGGCCAUUUUCUAAUUCAAGUGAUGAGAGUUUGUUCAGUGAUGAUGAGAUUCCGGGUGGAGGAGCUGAGCCAGUUGGAACUGAGGCCUCAGCUAGCUCGGAUGAGACAGGGGCAAUGUGAUUGUUAAUGUUUGACUUUUGGUUUUUGGUCUGUGUUGUUGAUUUCAGGAGGAAGCCAGGCUUCUCCUUUUUCUGCUGGGAAUCUGGUAUGGUUAUCCUCUGAUGCGGCUGCCAUUAGUUUUCAGAGCUCAUGGAAUUUUAGCAAGUUAGUAAGGUGUCGCAAUCACUGUUGUAUGAUCCCCGUGGAAUUGUUACUGUUUUUAUGUCAGCCCAGUGAAACCCUAUAACCAGUUGCAUAUUAUCAUUGACCAUCCUGAAUGUCAUUGGUGGUGAGCAUAGUCUUGCAGGGAUGUGGGAUAUUGAGGCGUGGCUGAUUCUGAUAUUGAAAGUUAUAAUACUAGUGUGUGCAUAUGUAAUUUUUGUACUCUUAUAGGGGGCUCCUUUUUUCUCUUUGUUUUUUUAGAGACAGUCAGUGAUCCAUGGGAAUUCUGCAAAAUUUUGUAAAAGCAGCCGGGAAUUACAUGUUUUGCUUGAUGCGGGGUUACGAAUCUCUGUAUGGUAUGUGAUGAAGUCAAAUGUUCCUGAAGUUUAGAGGUUUCG
rnacentral:misc_RNA from 1 species